rnacentral:rRNA from 1 species
UACGAAGGUGGCAAGCGUUACUCGGAAUUACUAGGCGUAAAGGGCAGGUAGGUGGUUUGGUUAGUCUGUUGUGAAAGCUCCUUGCUUAACGGGGAGAGGUCAAUAGAUACUGCCAGACUUGAGUAUGGGAGAGGGUACUGGAAUUCCCGGUGUAGCGGUGAAAUGCGCAGAGAUCGGGAGGAACACCAAUGGCGAAAGCAGGUACCUGGACCAUUACUGACACUCAGCUGCGAAAGCUAGGGGAGCAAACAGG